AGUCGAGCGGAUGAAGGGAGCUUGCUCCCUGAUUAGCGGCGGACGGGUGAGUAAUGCCUAGGAAUCUGCCUGGUAGUGGGGGACAACGUCUCGAAAGGGACGCUAAUACCGCAUACGUCCUACGGGAGAAAGCAGGGGACCUUCGGGCCUUGCGCUAUCAGAUGAGCCUAGGUCGGAUUAGCUAGUUGGUGAGGUAAUGGCUCACCAAGGCGACGAUCCGUAACUGGUCUGAGAGGAUGAUCAGUCACACUGGAACUGAGACACGGUCCAGACUCCUACGGGAGGCAGCAGUGGGGAAUAUUGGACAAUGGGCGAAAGCCUGAUCCAGCCAUGCCGCGUGUGUGAAGAAGGUCUUCGGAUUGUAAAGCACUUUAAGUUGGGAGGAAGGGCAGCUAAUUAAUACUUCGCUGUUUUGACGUUACCGACAGAAUAAGCACCGGCUAACUCUGUGCCAGCAGCCGCGGUAAUACAGAGGGUGCAAGCGUUAAUCGGAAUUACUGGGCGUAAAGCGCGCGUAGGUGGUUUGUUAAGUUGAAUGUGAAAUCCCCGGGCUCAACCUGGGAACUGCAUCCAAAACUGGCAAGCUAGAGUAGGGCAGAGGGUGGUGGAAUUUCCUGUGUAGCGGUGAAAUGCGUAGAUAUAGGAAGGAACACCAGUGGCGAAGGCGACCACCUGGGCUCAUACUGACACUGAGGUGCGAAAGCGUGGGGAGCAAACCGGAUUAUAUACCCUGGUAGUCCUCGCCGUAAACGAUGU
rnacentral:rRNA from 1 species